GGGCAGUUAGCUCAGCGGUAGAGCACUGCCUUCACACGGCAGGGGUCACUGGUUCGAUCCCAGUACUGCCCACCA
rnacentral:tRNA from 5 species